rnacentral:rRNA from 1 species
UUUGCGUCGAAGGUAUACCGGUAAGGAGUGCUGGAGCGAAUAGAAGUGAGCAUGCAGGCAUGAGUAGCGAUAAUUAAUGUGAGAAUCAUUAACGCCGUAAACCCAAGGUUUCCUACGCGAUGCUCGUCAUCGUAGGGUUAGUCGGGUCCUAAGUCGAGUCCGAAAGGGGUAGACGAUGGCAAAUUGGUUAAUAUUCCAAUACCAACAUUAGUGUGCGAUGGAAGGACGCUUAGGGCUAAGGGGGCUAGCGGAUGGAAGUGCUAGUCUAAGGUCGUAGGAGGUUGUACAGGCAAAUCCGUAUAACAAUACUCCGAGAACUGAAAGGCUUUUUGAAGUCUUCGGAUGGAUAGAAGAACCCCUGAUGCUGUCGAGCCAAGAAAAGUUUCUAAGUUUAGCUAAUGUUGCCCGUACCGUAAACCGACACAGGUGGGUGGGAUGAGUAUUCUAAGGCGCGUGGAAGAACUCUCUUUAAGGAACUCUGCAAAAUAGCACCGUAUCUUCGGUAUAAGGUGUGGUUAGCUUUGUAUUAGGAUUUACUCCGAAAGCAAGGAAACUUACAACAAAGAGUCCCUCCCGACUGUUUACCAAAAACACAGCACUCUGCUAACUCGUAAGAGGAUGUAUAGGGUGUGACGCCUGCCCGGUGCUCGAAGGUUAAUUGAUGGGGUUAGCAUUAGCGAAGCUCUUGAUCGAAGCCCGAGUAAACGGCGGCCGUAACUAUAACGGUCCUAAGGUAGCGAAAUUCCUUGUCGGUUAAAUACCGACCUGCAUGAAUGGCGUAACGAGAUGGGAGCUGUCUCAAAGAGGGAUCCAGUGAAAUUGUAGUGGAGGUGAAAAUUCCUCCUACCCGCGGCAAGACGGAAAGACCCCGUGGACCUUUACUACAGCUUGACACUGCUACUUGGAUAAGAAUGUGCAGGAUAGGUGGGAGGCUUUGAGUAUAUGACGCCAGUUGUAUAUGAGCCAUUGUUGAGAUACCACUCUUUCUUAUUUGGGUAGCUAACCAGCUUGAGUUAUCCUCAAGUGGGACAAUGUCUGGUGGGUAGUUUGACUGGGGCGGUCGCCUCCCAAAUAAUAACGGAGGCUUACAAAGGUUGGCUCAGAACGGUUGGAAAUCGUUCGUAGAGUAUAAAGGUAUAAGCCAGCUUAACUGCAAGACAUACAAGUCAAGCAGAGACGAAAGUCGGUCUUAGUGAUCCGGUGGUUCUGUGUGGAAGGGCCAUCGCUCAAAGGAUAAAAGGUACCCCGGGGAUAACAGGCUGAUCUCCCCCAAGAGCUCACAUCGACGGGGAGGUUUGGCACCUCGAUGUCGGCUCAUCGCAUCCUGGGGCUGGAGCAGGUCCCAAGGGUAUGGCUGUUCGCCAUUUAAAGCGGUACGCGAGCUGGGUUCAGAACGUCGUGAGACAGUUCGGUCCCUAUCUGCCGUGGGCGUAAGAAGAUUGAAGAGAUUUGACCCUAGUACGAGAGGACCGGGUUGAACAAACCACUGGUGUAGCUGUUGUUCUGCCAAGAGCAUCGCAGCGUAGCUAAGUUUGGAAAGGAUAAACGCUGAAAGCAUCUAAGCGUGAAGCCAACUCUAAGAUGAAUCUUCUCUAAGCUCUCUAGAAGACUACUAGUUUGAUAGGCUGGGUGUGUAAUGGAUGAAAGUCCUUUAGCUGACCAGUACUAAUAGAGCGUUUGGCUUAUCUUUAAUAAAGCAU